CCAGCAACCGCCAUGCCCCUCGGUCUUCCCCUCCGUCCUCUGCGCAACCGCCAUGGUCUUCCCCUCCGCGCAACCACAGCAACCGCCAUGCCCCUACCUCGCACCAUCCGCCAUGCCUUCGCCUCGCAGGAUCCGCCAUGCCAGCGUCUCGGCUUCUCCUCCGUUCAGCCGCCCGACCCGCCGCCUUCCCCUCCGCAAAACAGCCAUGUCCCCGCCUCGGCUAACCCUAUGCGCAGAUCCACAGCCGCCCGACCCGCCAGGACCUGCCUCUCCUUCCCCUCCGCGCUCAAACAACCAAGCCGAGCCGAGGAAAUGCGCCCACAAAUUUGGACGCUCCGCGCAGCCACACGAACUGCCAUGCAACCACCUCGCACGAUCCGUCAUGCCCCCGCCUCGCACGAUCCGCCGUGCCAGCGCCUCGGCUUCCCCUUCGUGCAACCGCCCGACCCGCCAGGACCCUGUCUCUCCUUCCCCUCCGCGCUCGGCUUGGCCCACAAAUUUGGAAAUGCACCCACAAAUUUGGAAGCCACGGCAAUGGCGCCCGAUUUGGCUAUGGCGUCGCUGAUUUGGAAAUCGCACAAUCUACGUCGCCGAUUUGGAAAGCACGAUCUCGGUACCGCAAUCACAACAACUAUCCCCCAAAUGUCGCGCCCACCCACGUCCAGCUGACUUAGGAGGGUCCAAGCAGGAGCCUACUCCUCAUUUGCCCCUGUUCAGAGAUUUCCUUAUGUGAAAACGAAGAACCAACAUAAACGAAUCUAAUGGAGCAUAAUGCUGAUCGCACACCAUUAAUAGACAUCUCAAACACAAGCGUUACAGGUGAUCAAAUAGGAUCAAACUCGCUUGGACCAAUAGACGAUGCUAAUGAACGUAAGAGGCAAAGGGAUAGAGAAAGAUAUGCCACGAUGUCCAUUGAACAAAAGAAUGAGAAAAAUAGGAAGCGCCGUGAAGCACGUCAACGAAACAAAGGACUACCCCUAAAGUCUGAGUCAUCUAGAGGUCCUAUUAAAAACACUCCAUUGGCUGGUAAUUCUAUCGAACGAAAGAGGCAAAGGGAUAGAGAAAGGCGUGCAACAAUGUCGGUUGAACAAAGGAAUGAGUACAAUAACAAGCGUCGUCAAAUGCGUCAACGAAAUAAGGGACAAAAUGUGAUGCCCGAUGUUUCAGGAGAUGGCGACAAAAAAGAAAAUGUGGAUCCAGAUGAUGAUAGCGACUGGCUGCAUCGGAACGAGACAUUCCAGUCAAACGACUAUGUCGCAACGACAGACCUUCUGCCACCAGGCAGUGUGCAUGAAUCUGUUGGUGUCAUUGGGGAACCGAGUAUCGGCGUUAGGGAGUAUAGGCUUGAACGCCUUAGGUUGUAUAAUCAGACACCAAAGCGAAAAGAGGCAAAGAUAGAGUACAUGAGAAAACGUAGAGUGCUACAGGCUGACACUCUGAAUGUUGCGUCCAUCGCCAUGGAGGACCCAACAUAUACCCCUGAGGUUGUGCACCCUGCAACGGAACCUUCAACAGUUACCACCUGCGACUGGGUUAUCCCUGAAUUCAUUAGGACACCUUUCCUACCAGCUCAAACACAGACCGAGGAUGUCGGUUCAUUCGAUAUGUCUACUGAAGCAAUAAGACAUAAACAUCAUGUGCCGCGUGGGGAAAGACAAGCUAUCUUAGCCCGUCGAAACAAACAAUUUCAAGCAUCCAUUGCAAGGAACGUGACUACUUUGAAUGGGGAUACUAUCGGUGACGCCAACAACAAUGCACAAUGUAGCGUUCCAUGCCAAGCCGCUACCUUGCCAACAAAUGGAAGUGAAGGCAUAACCGAACAAGGAAAUGAGGUGGAGCAUACACAAGAGAAGCCAACGGUCAUUUCCAAUGAUGAUGAUGAUGAUGAUGAGGCUGUCAUAUUCGAAGAAGAUGAUGACAACGACGAGGGAUACAUAUUCGCUGGCCAAU
rnacentral:misc_RNA from 1 species